AAGCGGCUCUUCCCACGUCGGAGUCAGCAUUGACUCUAUUUAUUAUUAUGGUAAAUCAGUGUAUCAAGAUGUUAAUCUGAGAUCUUAUUUUUCGUAUUUCAUUUUCUUCUUCCAAGCCCUUCUUAGAAAGCACUCACUGAGUUACUUACGGAAUCUCAAACCUCUCUCUUUGAUGAAUGUGGUAUCGAGGUUCGGUUCAUUUAUCAGGUCUUUCCUCAGUAGGGAAUAGGUUCAAAGCUGUGCAAGGAACAUAUCUCUUGGUGACUUCAAUGGUCACUCGAGAGCCAGGUAUGUCAACUUUUGAAGCAAUGGUGGCCAAAGCAUCAGGGUGCUUAUUGGCUGCUCGGGGGUAUUUCUCAGUUUUUUUUAAGUUUCUUGUCUGGAUUUGGGGAAAAAGUGGCAACUUGAUGAUCGGCGUACCUUUUGCAUGAUGGGUCAGCGAGGAAAUGGG
rnacentral:lncRNA from 1 species